rnacentral:rRNA from 1 species
UACGGGAGGCAGCAGUGGGGAAUAUUGCACAAUGGGCGCAAGCCUGAUGCAGCCAUGCCGCGUGUAUGAAAAAGGCCUUCGGGUUGUAAAGUACUUUCAGUCGUGAGGAAGGUGUUAAGGUUAAUAACCUUAGCAAUUGACGUUAGCGACAGAAGAAGCACCGGCUAACUCCGUGCCAGCAGCCGCGGUAAUACGGAGGGUGCGAGCGUUAAUCGGAAUUACUGGGCGUAAAGGGCACGCAGGCGGUUAAUUAAGUUGGAUGUGAAAUCCCCGGGCUUAACCUGGGAAUGGCAUUCAAGACUGGUUAGCUAGAGUCUUGUAGAGGGGGUUAGAAUUCCAUGUGUAGCGGUGAAAUGCGUAGAGAUGUGGAGGAAUACCGGUGGCGAAGGCGGCCCCUGGACAAAGGCUGACGCUCAUGUGCGAAAGCGUGGGGAGCAAACG